GACGAACGCUGGCGGCGUGCUUAACACAUGCAAGUCGAACGGAAAGGCCCUGCUUUUGUGGGGUGCUCGAGUGCGAACGGGUGAGUAACACGUGAGUAACCUGCCCUUGACUUUGGGAUAACUUCAGGAAACUGGGGCUAAUACCGGAUAGGAGCUCCUGCUGCAUGGUGGGGGUUGGAAAGUUUCGGCGGUUGGGGAUGGACUCGCGGCUUAUCAGCUUGUUGGUGGGGUAGUGGCUUACCAAGGCUUUGACGGGUAGCCAGCCUGAGAGGGUGACCGGCCACAUUGGGACUGAGAUACGGCCCAGACUCCUACGGGAGGCAGCAGUGGGGAAUAUUGCACAAUGGGCGGAAGCCUGAUGCAGCAACGCCGCGUGCGGGAUGACGGCCUUCGGGUUGUAAACCGCUUUCGCCUGUGACGAAGCGUGAGUGACGGUAAUGGGUAAAGAAGCACCGGCUAACUACGUG
rnacentral:rRNA from 1 species